ACGCUGCUGCCCCACCCCCACCGGGCUGGCGCGCCAGCGGGGCGGAGCCAGGCAGCAACCCCUCCCCCACCGCACCUCCCUUCGCCUCAGGGACCCGGCAGCCGCCACCUGCCGACCCAGCCGGUGCCCUCUGCUCCGCCAGGAGGGGCCGGGGCCCUCGCCCGGCCGGGCCGGCUCUGCUGCCAGGCCGCCCCCUCACAGACUCCGCCCGCCCCCGCAGCCCCACCACAGCCAGUGCCCGCCCCCGCCUCGCGGCGCCCAACCGCCGCCCCCAGCGUGCUGGGCCCUGCCCGCCUGCCGGCCGGGUUCCGGCCCGUCGCUACAGCAACAGAAAUAGUAGCUGGCAGGUGCACCACAGCAAGGGACACAAAGCAUGGGGGGGGGGGGUGGACGCGCCCCCCCAUGGCAAUGGAUGUGCACCCCAGAGGAGCAACGGACGCACACCCAAGGGCAAUGGACGCGCAACCCAUGGCAAUGGAUGUGCACCCCAGAGGAGCAACGGACACGCACCCCAUGGCAGUGGAUGUGCACCCGGGAGCAAUGGACAUGGACAUGCACCCCGGAGGAGGGACGGACGCGCACCUGGGACCGAUGGUCAUACACCCCCCCAUGGCAAUGGAUGCGCGCACACAGAAGCGAUGGAUAUGUGCCUAUAAGAGCAAUGACUGCACACCAAGGAGGGACACACACACACGGGAUCACUAUUAAAGGGACACGUGGGCCCCAGUCCUGUGGGCAUCUUCUUACUUUUAGGGGCAUCACUGUGAACAACUGUGUACCCAUGCCACUCCCUCGCUGCUGCCAUGUUUGCAUGCAAUAACCCCCAUAACUGGACCCAUGCUUGUAACUAUCCAAACUUGACAGACCGGUGCAUAGAAUCCAGCACACACACCCAGCAAAGUGAACGCUUAAAAUAAUUGACACAUUCUACAUUAAAAGAAAAUUUAACUCCAUUAGUAAUUCUACUUGGUUUUGCCCUAUACAACGCUGCAGGCAUGUUAAAUUCUGCAUAUGGUGGCUGAGGAAGUAGCUUUCUAUCAAAUCGAGUCAAAAUAAACUGAUCUGAGAGAUGCUCACAGAUCCCAGAUGACUAUUGGAUAACACUUUGCAGUGAGAAACAAGGAAGCCAGCUGUCUUAAAACCCAAAGAUUUCCUCCUCCUGGCCUUAAAAUAAAUCCACAUUUGUUGAAUGUUGGCAUCACUUAGGUCCCAUUACAAAAGCUGCAAGAGAGUCAGAAAAAGGAGAUGAAUGCAGCCAAAAUCCUUGCCAUCAGCCUGGGCCUGCUGGGGUCAGCCUGUAUCAGACCACAAUGGAUCUCGGAGUUAUUUGUGGGGUACACAUUGCCUCGAUGCCCACCUUUGCACAACCCUUCAGCAAUGACUUGGGCUCCCAAGAACUGGCCACAGUUCUUUCUACAGAUUCCAGGGCUUGGCUAUGCUACCUAUCCAUACAGGCACAGCUCCCCCAGGUGGUGAAUUCCUCUCCAGUGGGCUCAUCUUUCUCCCACAGGUCACUAGCAUAGUUGAAAAGCGUGCCAUUUGGCUAAACAAAGAAGCCAAAUCCAUGUGGCUGUACGAAGAGCUGUGGUUCCAGGAUGAUACUUUAUAAACUCAUAAAGUGCGAACAGGUUUGAAAUAUUUCCUGUAUCCCCUCCUGUCCCUAAUCUCUCUGCAGAGAAUAGCUGUGUGUGUUAAUAUUUGAACCAAACCAUCACUCGCAUGACACCAAGCUCCAGAGAGGCUUAAAGGUGUUGGAUGCCUGACUCAUUUCAAUGACUUCCCAGCCUACACUUUUCACACUUAGUAUUCUGAGGAGUUGGCAAAUUAAUGUUGGCAAGAGAUUAAAAUACAUGUGGAAGUGUCAAUUAUUUCCCAGCAUCCUCACAGUAUCUUAGCACUAACUGGGGCUUGCGUGGG